UACGAAGGAUUCGAGCGUUAUCCGGAUUUAUUGGGUUUAAAGGGUGCGUAGGUGGACUAAUAAGUCAGUGGUGAAAGCCCGCAGCUUAACUGCGGAACUGCCAUUGAUACUGUUAGUCUUGAGUACAGUUGAGGUGGGCGGAAUGUGUCAUGUAGCGGUGAAAUGCUUAGAUAUGACACAGAACACCGAUUGCGAAGGCAGCUGACGAAACUGUAACUGACACUGAGGCUCGAAAGUGUGGGGAUCAAACAGG
rnacentral:rRNA from 1 species